GAGUUUGAUCAUGGCUCAGAUUGAACGCUGGCGGCAUGCCUUACACAUGCAAGUCGAACGGCAGCGGGGGAAAGCUUGCUUUCCUGCCGGCGAGUGGCGAACGGGUGAGUAAUACAUCGGAACGUGCCCUGUAGUGGGGGAUAACUAGUCGAAAGAUUAGCUAAUACCGCAUACGACCUGAGGGUGAAAGUGGGGGACCGCAAGGCCUCAUGCUAUAGGAGCGGCCGAUGUCUGAUUAGCUAGUUGGUGGGGUAAAGGCCUACCAAGGCGACGAUCAGUAGCUGGUCUGAGAGGACGAUCAGCCACACUGGGACUGAGACACGGCCCAGACUCCUACGGGAGGCAGCAGUGGGGAAUUUUGGACAAUGGGCGAAAGCCUGAUCCAGCAAUGCCGCGUGUGUGAAGAAGGCCU
rnacentral:rRNA from 1 species